rnacentral:rRNA from 1 species
UUUAAAUUGAGAGUUUGAUCCUGGCUCAGGAUGAACGCUGGCGGCGUGCUUAACACAUGCAAGU